CCAUCCCGAACUCGGAAGUGAAAACCCGCUGCGCGGAUGGUACUGCCGGGGCCACCCGGUGGGAGAGUACGGCGCCGCCGGCC
rnacentral:rRNA from 1 species